ACCCGCUCCCUCCCUCGCGGGCCAGAGUGAUGUGUGUGCACACAUCUGGGCCGAGCUGUGCACAGGGCCAACAGUUAAUCCACGGACACGACCUGCUCAUCUUUGGCCCUUGGAAUCCACAUCUUUUUGCCCUGAGGCGCCACCCAGCUCCAUUUUCCUGUGCAAAGAAUAGAGGCCGCAGAAAGGGCCACCGUCGUGCAUCAGCAGAGAAGGGACGUGCGGCCUCGGUUCUGCUCACCGCUGGCUGUGUGACCUUGCACAGAACACAGAGUCUCUGAGCCUCAGUUUCCCUGUCCAUUCAUGACGUCGUACGGACUUUCUAGUUCUGACUACCCGGAAGUCCAUCAAAGACAACUGUCGAAAUACUCCGUUCCCUUGACACGGAGUAUUUCCUCUCUUCAUGGCGGCCCUUGUGGCUCGUACAUUAUCUCCAGCGGAUAAGGAGGAAAUGGAAGGGCAAAGGAGGGAAGUCACCCGGAGGCAGGGAUCAGCCCCAUCAGCUCUUUCUGCCACCUGCUCCCUGCAGGGCUCUGCCCACAGGCUGCGGGGCCAGAACCGCCACCCUCCUGGGCAGAUGCUGGGGCGGGAGUGACAAAGGGCACCAGCCAGCUCCGCUGGGAGGCCCCUCCUCACCCCUGCUGCCGACGGGGCCAUAAAUCAAAGAGGGAAAUGUCAGAAGGAAAAGAAAAAAGGCAGAGCAAUCAUGCUCCCCCGGGCUGGUGAGUAGUAACACGCAUAGAGUGUAGAGAUCAACAAGGACUUCACGGGGGGACGGGCAAGGCUCAGACCCAGGGCAGUGUGGGAGCCAGAUGCCUCAGAGCUGGAUCAGCAGGUGCGAAGGGGUGGAGGGGGCCUGGGACCGCCAGGUACUGGGUCGAGUCGGAGGAAUAAGGCGCCGGGGCUCCGGGUAGGGUGAUAGAACCGUGCUUCUCAGAUUUCCCCGCACACACUGGUCACUGGGACGCUUAUUGAAAUGCACAUCCUGGUCCAGCAGGUCCAAGGCAGGGACCUCAGCCUUCACAUUUCUAACAAGCUCCCAGAUAAUGCUGCUGCCACUGGCCUGGGCUGCACCUUGAGUCCCACCAGUGUGUGCUGAGACGUCCCACACUCUGGGUUUGAACUUGGAUCUGCCCUUAAUUAGCUGCGAGGGGGCAAGUGAGUCCCAACUCACCCUGCCUUAGUUUCCUCACCUAUAAAAUGGGGAUGAUGAUAGUACCAACUGCAAGGAGGUGGUCGCGGGGGUUAAAGAGUGACUCUAUGGUAAUAUAUGUAAAAGCACUUGGAUGGUGCUUGGUGAGCGUAUUAGUCUAAAGUGCUGGCUGGACAUGUGCUUUUCGCUGAGGGUAAUGGGCUGCCGUCGAGUUUUAAGUGGGGGAGUGGCCUAACGAAAUCUUGUUUAAAAGGCUUCCUCUGGGUAGUGCUGGGAAAUGUGUGGGAGGUGGAGGGCAGGGCUGAAUCAGGAGGGGGUGGGGUUGCGAGGGGAGGCAGUGAGCCCGGAACACAGCAGGAUGGAAGGAGAGAGGGGCCGGAUGACAUUUCUGAGUAGAGCUAAGUAGAGCGGGCCCAGGAAGGCCUGGAGUCAGCCUGAGGCUGUCCCGCAGCUGUGCACCCCGCGGGGAAGCUUCUGGGCCAGGCUGGUGGCGCCCGCCCUGCUGGGCUGCUGCUUGGCUGUCCUGACGUGCCCCGGCCCAGGACAGACCAGCUCACGGCUUGCCCUCCUCAGCCUCACAGGUUCUCGGCCCCCAGCUCAGCUCCCCUGCCAAGGGGCUCAACUCAGCUUCCUCUGAGGGGCAUUGGCGAGAAGGUAUGUGUGCCCGUGAGUAUAUGUGUGGGGCUGUGUGCCUGUGGUUAGGGAGAGGAGAGAAGAAAAGGCCGUUGAGUUCCUCAGGUCGAGAGACUAGAAGGAAAGAAUUAGGAACAUCAGUUCUAUCCAUGAAGGGAUGUAACGAAUGACCUUAUUCUUUAAAGACUUCCCAAGUCCUGGAGCGCCUGGGUGGCUCAGUCCGUUAAGCGUGCGACUUCGGCUCAGGUCAUGAUCUCACGUCUCAUGGGUUGGAGCCCCGCAUCGGGCUCUGUGCUGAUGGCUCAGAGCCUGGGGUCUGCUUCGGAUUCUGUGUUUCCCCCUCUCUCUGUCCCUCCCCUGCUUAUUCUCUGUCUCUCAAUAAUAAACAAACAUUAAAAAAAUUUUUUUUUUUAAUU
ensembl:lncRNA